UGGGCACUUCUAAAAUAUAUA
rnacentral:miRNA from 1 species